rnacentral:rRNA from 1 species
GGACGAACGCUGGCGGCGUGCCUAAUCCAUGCAAGUUGAGCGCUGAAGGUUGGUACUUGUACCAACUGGAUGAGCAGCGAACGGGUGAGUAACGCGUGGGGAAUCUGCCUUUGAGCGGGGGACAACAUUUGGAAACGAAUGCUAAUACCGCAUAAAAACUUUAAACACAAGUUUUAAGUUUGAAAGAUGCAAUUGCAUCACUCGAAGAUGAUCCCGCGUUGUAUUAGCUAGUUGGUGAGGUAAAGGCUCACCAAGGCGAUGAUACAUAGCCGACCUGAGAGGGUGAUCGGCCACAUUGGGACUGAGACACGGCCCAAACUCCUACGGGAGGCAGCAGUAGGGAAUCUUCGGCAAUGGACGAAAGUCUGACCGAGCAACGCCGCGUGAGUGAAGAAGGUUUUCGGAUCGUAAAACUCGGUUGGUAGAGAAGAACGUUGGUGAGAGUGGAAAGCUCAUCAAGUGACGGUAACUACCCAGAAAGGGACGGCUAACUACGUG